GUAAUCGCUAUGAUGCAACAUUCCGGAUGUAAACUUCUUGUCAUUGUCCAAGAGCGCAAAACCAUGUGGACCUUUUCCGUUGCCUUCCUUCUGAGCCCAUAC
rnacentral:snoRNA from 1 species